GAUGAACGCUGGCGGCGUGCCUAAUACAUGCAAGUCGAGCGAACAGACGAGGAGCUUGCUCCUCUGACGUUAGCGGCGGACGGGUGAGUAACACGUGGAUAACCUACCUAUAAGACUGGGAUAACUUCGGGAAACCGGAGCUAAUACCGGAUAAUAUAUUGAACCGCAUGGUUCAAUAGUGAAAGACGGUUUUGCUGUCACUUAUAGAUGGAUCCGCGCCGCAUUAGCUAGUUGGUAAGGUAACGGCUUACCAAGGCAACGAUGCGUAGCCGACCUGAGAGGGUGACCGGCCACACUGGAACUGAGAAACGGGCCAGACUCCUACGGGAGGCAGCAGUAGGGAAUCUUCCGCAAUGGGCGAAGGCCUGAAGGAGCAACGCCGCGUGGGUGAUGAAGGUCUUCGGAUUGUAAAACUCUUUUAUUAGGGAAGAACAAAUGUGUAAGUAACUAUGCGCGUCUUGACGGUACCUAAUCAAAAAGCCACGGCUAACUACGUG
rnacentral:rRNA from 1 species